rnacentral:rRNA from 1 species
CCUACGGGUGGCAGCAGUGGGGAAUAUUGGACAAUGGGGGGAACCCUGAUCCAGCGACGCAGCGUGAGUGGAGAAGUAUUUCGGUAUGUAAAGCUCUAUCAGCAGGGAAGAAAGAAAUGACGGUACCUGACUAAGAAGCCCCGGCUAACUACGUGCCAGCAGCCGCGGUAAUACGUAGGGGGCAAGCGUUAACCGGAUUUACUGGGGGUAAAGGGAGCGUAGACGGUUACGCAAGUCUGGAGUGAAAGGCGGGGGCCCAACCCCCGGACUUCUUUGGAAACUGGAUAACUGGAGUGCAGGAGAGGUAAGUGGAAUUCCUAGUGUAGCGGUGAAAUGCGUAGAUAUUAGGAGGAACACCAGUGGCGAAGGCGGCUUACUGGACUGUAACUGACGUUGAGGCUCGAAAGCGUGGGGAGCAAACAGGAUUAGAUACCCGGGUAGUC